GUGGAACCUGGCUUAAUUUGACCAGUUGCAGUAAUUUGCUCCUUUGGGCAUGGUUCAUUGGUCCUGGAGUGGCCAUCUGAGACAAACCAAAUUAACCACGAUUGUUCCCCAGAACUUUUCAAACUGGAACUAAGAAAAGAGAGCUGGUUUCAUUUUGGAGGUGAAGAUGUGGGCUCUGAGGCCUGGAAUCUAAAUGUGACCAUGUGACCUACCUGUUAAAGAGAUCAUUUUAAGAGAAUGAAGCAUGGAGUGGCAGAUGAGAGAUGGGGAGAAAUUCUACUGGCAGAGAAUAGACAUCCACACUGAAGCUUUUCCUCUGAAAAAGGAAAAUAAUGUGACCAAAUAAUUUAUCAUCCAUCCAAGAACAUUUUUGAGUACUCUUAAAAAUUACACCAGAACCACAGGAAUAAACCACAGCUGCUCUGGAAGGGUCCUGGGCAAGCUGGACCUAAGAGCACCCCAGAAAUGAAAGUCUUUGUUUCUUUUUAAAAAAUUGUUGACAUCACUGAACAGAGCUCAGUGUGCAGCCCACUGUAUCAAGUCCUAGACCAGCCAACGAAAGCUGCGUUGAACCUAUCCUGCAGCAGAAACACUGGUGAAGAAGCCUGGAGAAACAGAGGCCUGCAGUACCCAGUAACUAACCAGGCUGCACGAAUGGAGCAUGAGAACACCCUACAGCCUGUUAUUUGCUGCAUGUUUCUACGGGCACCAGCAAAGCACAACUUCUAGUAAUGGGAUCAGUAACCCAAGUGACGGAACUGAAAAGCAAGGGGAACUAAUACAGAUGUGGUGCAGCUCGCUUCAGCCAUCUGAGGCUUGGGUUCCUCACCUCUAAAAUGGAUACUCAUACCUACUUCAAUAGGACUAAAUUCAAUAAUUAUAAGGAAUUCUUGUGGCUGGCACACAGUAUGAAAGCUAAUCUUUGAAGACACACUUAAUCAGCGAAAUGGUGAUUGUUGAAGGAGAAUUGUGGCCUGAUGCGCUAAUUUCUAAGUUAAAAAGGAACAUCAUUUUCGCAACAAUAAAGUAGUGAUCUGCCCUUCCACGCAGUGUUAAGACACUUCCCACAACUCCUUCACCCUUCUCAUUUAGGUAAGUACUAAAAUAAACAGGAAAAGGGAACUGUACCUCUUAUACCUAUGCAACUGGCCCAGUGAAUUGAUUUCAAGUUUGCAUUUGUGAGAAAAAAAAAAAGAUGACUUCCUUAUUUAUAUUUUAGUGGGCAC
rnacentral:lncRNA from 1 species